GUGAAACUAAGAAAGAAAGAUGUGCCUAAGGCAGCACACAAGCAAACUGUGCAAGCUAAGAGGAAAAGGAGAGAUGCCCACAAUUACUACAAAAAGAGAGCCACCCCUACCAUCUCUAAGGGGGGCCGUCACUUCAUUCAGACCUUCUU